CUCAAGCUACCUCUCUGCACCUCUCUUUUACCUUCUCUCCGACUUUAAACUCUCUCUUGGUGUGUAAAAAAAAUAUACCCUCCUUUUUUCCCCCCUUUUAACAUUCCAGCUCCAAUACAUCUCACACUCUUAUUCUCUUUCCCUGUCAAAAAAUUAUCAUCAUUACUUUCUCCAAUGACCCUUAGUCUUUUCAAGUGCUUUUUCCUCUCCUAAUAUUUCUCUUCAUUUUCUCUCUCUCUCUCUCUCUCUAUCUUCUUCGCACUCGUUUGUCUUUCUUCGACACUUGCUCACUCUGCCUCGAUGUAGCUUUCCCCUAUUUGUGUGUGAACACCUCUUUACAGCUCAGUAAACACAAGUAGCUUCACUUGAGUUAUGGCAAACUGAUUGCUCCGAUCUGGUCACACCAACCUGGGAGGAACCUGAUGUGCCAAGUGCUGGAACCAGUCAUCACCAAGCACCAAGUCCCUGGCUCACUCUUGAGAUUGGAAUGCGCUGAAAACAUUCCCAUUAAAUAUAGUUCAGACGUGAAUCUAAGCUAAGAUAUCCCAGUUUACAAUCGUUGAAUUCUUUUAAGGGAGUUUGUGGGGGAGGAGAGAAAGAGGGCUGCAGCCAGGGAUACAGGUUAGGAGGAAGGUACCUGAACCGAGUCACAAUUUGGUCAUCUCCGAAGGAACAACAGCAACCACUUGCAUUUACGUAGAGGAGCCCUACACACCGGAC